rnacentral:rRNA from 1 species
AUUGAACGCUAGCGGGAGGCUUUACACAUGCAAGUCGAACGAGUGGCGGACGGGUGAGUAAUGUCUGGGAAACUGCCUAGUUGCGGGGGAUAACUACUGGAAACGGUGGCUAAUACCGCAUACCAUCCGAUUUGCCCAGAUCGGAUUAGCUUGUUGGUGGGGUAAAGGCUCACCAAGGCCACGAUCCCUAGCUGGUCUGAGAGGAUGACCAGCCACACUGGGACUGAGACACGGUCCAGACUCCUACGGGAGGCAGCAGUGGGGAAUUUUGUACAAUGGGCGAAAGCCUGAUGCAGCCAUGCCGCGUGUAUGAAGAAGGCCUUCGGGUUGUAAAGUACUUUCAGCGGGGAGGCGUUACCCGCAGAAGAAGCACCGGCUAACUACGUGCCAGCAGCCGCGGUAAUUC